GUUGUAGCUCAGUUGGUUAGAGCGCUGGUUUGUGGUACCAGAGGUCGCCGGUUCGAACCCGGUCUUC
rnacentral:tRNA from 2 species